rnacentral:rRNA from 1 species
ACGAACGCUGGCGGCGUGCUUAACACCUGCAAGUCGAACGGAAAGGCCCCCUUGUGGGGUACUCGAGUGGCGAACGGGUGAGUAAAACGUGAGUAACCUACCCUGGACUUUGGGAUAACUUCAGGAAACUGGGGCUAAUACCGGAUAGGAGCUCCUGCUGCAUGGUGGGGGUUGGAAAGUUUCGGCGGUGGGGGAUGGACUCGCGGCUUAUCAGCUUGUUGGUGGGGUAGUGGCUCACCAAGGCUUUGACGGGUAGCCGGCCUGAGAGGGUGACCGGCCACAUUGGGACUGAGAUACGGCCCAGACUCCUACGGGAGGCAGCAGUGGGGAAUAUUGCACAAUGGGCUGAAGCCUGAUGCAGCAACGCCGCGUGCGGUAUGACGGCCUUCGGGUUGUAAACCGCUUUCGCCUGUGACGAAGCGUGAGUGACGGUAAUGGGUAAAGAAGCACCGGCUAACUACGUG